CUGCCGGUGAUAAACCGGAGGAAGGUGGGGAUGACGUCAAGUCAUCAUGGCCCUUACGGCCAGGGCUACACACGUGCUACAAUGGCGCGUACAGAGGGCUGCAAGCUAGCGAUAGUGAGCGAAUCCCAAAAAGCGCGUCGUAGUCCGGAUCGGAGUCUGCAACUCGACUCCGUGAAGUCGGAAUCGCUAGUAAUCGCAAAUCAGAAUGUUGCGGUGAAUACGUUCCCGGGCCUUGUACACACCGCCCGUCACACCAUGGGAGUGGGUUGCACCAGAAGUAGAUAGCUUAACUUUCGGGAGGGCGUUUACCACGGUGUGAUUCAUGACUGGGGUGAAGUCGUAACA
rnacentral:rRNA from 1 species